rnacentral:rRNA from 1 species
AUUGAACGCUGGCGGCAGGCCUAACACAUGCAAGUCGAGCGGUAGCACAGAGAGCUUGCUCUCGGGUGACGAGCGGCGGACGGGUGAGUAAUGUCUGGGAAACUGCCUGAUGGAGGGGGAUAACUACUGGAAACGGUAGCUAAUACCGCAUAAUGUCGCAAGACCAAAGUGGGGGACCUUCGGGCCUCAUGCCAUCAGAUGUGCCCAGAUGGGAUUAGCUAGUAGGUGGGGUAACGGCUCACCUAGGCGACGAUCCCUAGCUGGUCUGAGAGGAUGACCAGCCACACUGGAACUGAGACACGGUCCAGACUCCUACGGGAGGCAGCAGUGGGGAAUAUUGCACAAUGGGCGCAAGCCUGAUGCAGCCAUGCCGCGUGUGUGAAGAAGGCCUUCGGGUUGUAAAGCACUUUCAGCGGGGAGGAAGGCGGUGAGGUUAAUAACCUCAUCGAUUGACGUUACCCGCAGAAGAAGCACCGGCUAACUCCGUGCCAGCAGCCGCGGUAAUACGGAGGGUGCAAGCGUUAAUCGGAAUUACCGGGCGUAAAGCGCACGCAGGCGGUCUGUCAAGUCGGAUGUGAAAUCCCCGGGCUCAACCUGGGAACUGCAUUCGAAACUGGCAGGCUAGAGUCUUGUAGAGGGGGGUAGAAUUCCAGGUGUAGCGGUGAAAUGCGUAGAGAUCUGGAGGAAUACCGGUGGCGAAGGCGGCCCCCUGGACAAAGACUGACGCUCAGGUGCGAAAGCGUGGGGAGCAAACAGGAUUAGAUACCCUGGUAGUCCACGCCGUAAACGAUGUCGAUUUGGAGGUUGUGCCCUUGAGGCGUGGCUUCCGGAGCUAACGCGUUAAAUCGACCGCCUGGGGAGUACGGCCGCAAGGUUAAAACUCAAAUGAAUUGACGGGGGCCCGCACAAGCGGUGGAGCAUGUGGUUUAAUUCGAUGCAACGCGAAGAACCUUACCUGGUCUUGACAUCCACAGAACUUUCCAGAGAUGGAUUGGUGCCUUCGGGAACUGUGAGACAGGUGCUGCAUGGCUGUCGUCAGCUCGUGUUGUGAAAUGUUGGGUUAAGUCCCGCAACGAGCGCAACCCUUAUCCUUUGUUGCCAGCGGUUCGGCCGGGAACUCAAAGGAGACUGCCAGUGAUAAACUGGAGGAAGGUGGGGAUGACGUCAAGUCAUCAUGGCCCUUACGACCAGGGCUACACACGUGCUACAAUGGCAUAUACAAAGAGAAGCGACCUCGCGAGAGCAAGCGGACCUCAUAAAGUAUGUCGUAGUCCGGAUUGGAGUCUGCAACUCGACUCCAUGAAGUCGGAAUCGCUAGUAAUCGUAGAUCAGAAUGCUACGGUGAAUACGUUCCCGGGCCUUGUACACACCGCCCGUCACACCAUGGGAGUGGGUUGCAAAAGAAGUAGGUAGCUUAACCUUCGGGAGGGCGCUUACCACUUUGUGAUUCAUGACUGGGGUGA